rnacentral:rRNA from 2 species
AGCUUGCUCUCGGGUGACGAGUGGCGGACGGGUGAGUAAUGUCUGGGAAACUGCCUGAUGGAGGGGGAUAACUACUGGAAACGGUAGCUAAUACCGCAUAACGUCGCAAGACCAAAGAGGGGGACCUUCGGGCCUCUUGCCAUCAGAUGUGCCCAGAUGGGAUUAGCUAGUAGGUGGGGUAACGGCUCACCUAGGCGACGAUCCCUAGCUGGUCUGAGAGGAUGACCAGCCACACUGGAACUGAGACACGGUCCAGACUCCUACGGGAGGCAGCAGUGGGGAAUAUUGCACAAUGGGCGCAAGCCUGAUGCAGCCAUGCCGCGUGUAUGAAGAAGGCCUUCGGGUUGUAAAGUACUUUCAGCGGGGAGGAAGGUGUUGUGGUUAAUAACCACAGCAAUUGACGUUACCCGCAGAAGAAGCACCGGCUAACUCCGUGCCAGCAGCCGCGGUAAUACGGAGGGUGCAAGCGUUAAUCGGAAUUACUGGGCGUAAAGCGCACGCAGGCGGUCUGUCAAGUCGGAUGUGAAAUCCCCGGGCUCAACCUGGGAACUGCAUUCGAAACUGGCAGGCUAGAGUCUUGUA